UACAUAGGCUCCAAGCGUUGUUCGGAAUUACUGGGCGUAAAGCGAGUGUAGGCUGUCCGCCAAGUCGAUUGUGAAAUCUCCCGGCUCAACUGGGAGGGUGCGGUCGAAACUGGCGGACUAGAGUUCGGGAGAGGAGAGUGGAAUUCCUGGUGUAGCGGUGAAAUGCGUAGAUAUCAGGAGGAACACCGGCGGUGAAGACGGCUCUCUGGACCGAUACUGACGC
rnacentral:rRNA from 1 species